UUACCGAAAUGUAUUAGUAAUAUAUAUUUAUACAUGUAUAUUAAAGUACAUGAUUAGUGAAAAAAGGUGUGUGAGCAAAUAAUUAUGAUUUCAUAUAAAGUAGAUUCUCGUUUCAACUCUAACUUAAUUCAGUAUACAAAACGAGAUGUCGCCUAUUCAUAACAAUGUUCGAGAAAACUUGAAGUCACGAUUCAUAGUCUCGUUUUAUAAGUUCAGGAUGGCAUAAGACGAACAGCAGGAACGUUAAAUUUAUUUGUGUCGAGCUUUUAGGAGGAUUGAUUUUUCUACUUUCAGAAAAACAUUUCGGAGUUCUUUAUUUCCUAUUUCUUCUAAUGUAUUUGCAGUUAUUUAACUAGAUGACUGUCCUAUAAGAAGAGGAACAGUAAUCUUCGAGUCUAUCAGUUUUUCUGAUCUAUUGGCGCGAGAUGUCCAAAAUAUAGCAUUUUAGACACUUCAUUGGUCAUUUUUAUUGUCGUCAAGACUAUUUCGCAUGUGCUGACAAAUUGCCACGAAAAUUUUUCGUCCUUGUAAUUGCAGAUUAUUAUUGUGCAAUCAUUUGUGCAGCCAUGAAUGGGUUUUUCGUUGUUGUAAAAAAUUGGUCUAUAUGUAAAAUAAAAAAAGAAUCGUGAAGUAGACUAUUUUUCCGUUAAUUUGCAUUUGUUUGCGUUUUGCGAUUUCAAUUAACUUUUAGGAAUAUGUUAAUUGGAUUGCGUGCAAAGCAGUCAUAGAGUCAGUAUUUGUUUGUAAAAAGUUUUAUUUAUCUAUCUCUUAUAGUCACAUAAACUCUUUUCAAAUAUAAAACAAACGAUAUAGAUAUUUGUGAAUUAACUUUAUCGUCCGUCUCUUAAUUACUAAAUUAUCGCGUAUUAGAGUCAGUGCAUCAUAACCUUCUUGAUCAAGAAUCAUUCCUAUAGAAGAACAAUAAUCAUCAAUCUACUACAACUUCCACCUACUUUAUUUUCAAUCUGUCUAAUAUAAAUCUACUUCAUUGGUGAUCUAUUGCGAAUUAAUCUUUAAUUUCGACCUAUGACAAGGAUGAGUGGACCCAUCGCAGGUCUUCUUAAUCAGUGAGUGAAAAAAUUUAAACUCUUCCAGUGCUGAUUAUGGCGAGGAUGAAUGAUCUGAUUUAUGGUAAUUUUUUUAAUAAAUUAUUGACGAACGUGAUUUUUAGUAAUUCUUUUUUCGGAUUUAUUCAAGAAUA